UAAACCCUUUUUGUUUUUAAUUUCUGAAAAAUAGAAACCCAGGUCUCGUUCGAAAACCCUUAGCUCUUAUUCCUCUCUUCUAUGCUCCAAUGGCGAAAACUCUUUCACUGAGGUUUCUUCUUCCUUGGGAACCCUAGCUUUUUCCCUCUUCUCGCGUUCCUCUUCACGUUUCUUCUUCUCGAUUGCAAACGUUUCAGGUUCGAUCUCCACUUUGGUUUCAUCUCGUUUCUGCAAACGCUUCAGGUUCAGAUCGGUUCGAUCAUCUCGUUUCUGCAAACGCUUCAGGUUCAGGUCGGUUAGAUCAUCUCGUUUCUCCAAACGCUUCAGGUUCAGAUCGGUUCGAUCUUCUGGUUUCUGCAAACGCUUCAGGAUUGGCAACGAAGAGAUUGGGGUUUUCACAAACAGUUCCGAUCUUGAUACUUAGGGUUUGGAUUCUCUGUCUGCUUGCUGCUCUAUCUUCAUCGCCCAGGACUCAAUUCAACGCUAUGUAGAGAUUAGAGUAUUGAAAGGCUAUGUCAAUAACUUGCCUAGUGGGCUACGCAUUUUAGUUGAUUUUAAUGAGCAAGACUCAGCAUAUGGUGAUGCACAAGGUCUACUUGCUGGAUUUUUGGGAAUAUUGGCAUGUGAUUGCAAUUUGUUUCCAAUUGAUUUUGAAAGAUGGACGGGGGGAAAGUAGGCAUACCUGAAGAUUAUUUUAAUGACUGUUUUACAACAAUUAUAAAGGACCACUGAAGCCCUUGCAAAGAGAUAUUGCAAAAUUAGUAUGGGGAAGAAGUGGUCGGCGCAUAAGCAACGUUUGUGGAGUGAAUUUAAUAUUCCAACCAAAACCAUAGAUGAAAUCAUUAGAAAUGUGCCGAAUGGUAUAGACAAAGAUCAGUGGGUUCGCUUUGUCCAAUAUCGUAUGAAACCAUCUACACAGGAACGUUGUAGAAAAAAAUAAAGAAAACCGAAGCAAGCAAGUGAUUCCACACACCGGUGGUUCUAAAGCUAACUCAAGAAGAAGACAUGAGAUAUUCUUAGAAACUGGGAAGCUACCAAGUCGUGCACAAAUGUAUAUUCUAACUCAUACGAAAAAGGAUGGAUCCUUUGUCAAUGAUGCAGCGAAGGGUGUAGUGAGAAUGCAUUUAAGGCCUACCUUAUAAUGAAGGAAGGAAGGAUACCUGAAGAAAUGGCUCGCUUCUUUGCUCCUGAAUCACAUGGAUCCACACCAUGCUCUUUUCAACCAACAUAGCUCCAAUGUAAGAUUGAAAUGGUAAUUGAUACUGAAAGGGAAUCUGCGACAGAUUUGGAAGCAAGCGGAUCAUGGAGUGUUUGUUAUUUUAGAUCUUAAGUGGUUGUGCACUUUGUUAGUGUUAUUUUAGAUAUUGUAUGAAUUAAUGAUUUCAUAAAAUUUUUGAUCUGUUUGAGGUCAUGGUAAGAAAGUUGUUUGAUCAAUUAAAAAAAAAAAAAAACA